GGAAUCUUGCGCAAUGGGCGAAAGCCUGACGCAGCGACGCCGCGUGAGGGAUGACGGCCUUCGGGUUGUAAACCUCUUUCAGCUCCGACGAAGCGAAAGUGACGGUAGGAGCAGAAGAAGCACCGGCCAACUACGUGCCAGCAGCCGCGGUAAUACGUAGGGUGCAAGCGUUGUCCGGAAUUAUUGGGCGUAAAGAGCUCGUAGGCGGUCUGUCGCGUCGGCUGUGAAAACUUGGGGCGCAACUCCGAGCUUGCAGUCGAUACGGGCAGGCUAGAGUUCGGCAGGGGAGACUGGAAUUCCUGGUGUAGCGGUGAAAUGCGCAGAUAUCAGGAGGAACACCGGUGGCGAAGGCGGGUCUCUGGGCCGAUACUGACGCUGAGGAGCGAAAGCGUGGGGAGCGAACAGGA
rnacentral:misc_RNA from 1 species